GUGGCGUUAGACGGAAAUCACAACUCGAGAUCUUUGACACUCGUCAAGGAAAGAUUCAAGAAAAUCUUCGAAGAAUGCAAAGUAUUCAAAAAGAAAUUAAAGUUGUAAAGGAAGCUUAACCCACUAUGAUGUCUGCUAUUAAAUGGAACAUAGCACCAGCCGGAUACAAGGCAGUUCAUGGGUAAAUUUUUGAGUUUGAAGAUUUCUAUCGUAUCUUGGAAAACAAUACCCUAUGAUUUUACCCUAUACUAUGAACCUUGAAACCUACUAUUAAACAAUGUUAUGAUCUAUUGCAUUUUAUUUCUUUCAAUCUAAUGGUAUUUUAUUUCCUUCAAUGAAUGAAAAACCGUUUUGGUA